rnacentral:lncRNA from 1 species
AUCUCUCCUCCUCCAUCCAAGGACCUCCAGUUCCCUCCCAGCACCAGAGUCAGUCAUCUUUGCUAGCUCAUUGCAGCAGCAGCAUCCGUCGAGGAAGCAAAUGGCGGUUACUCUGAAGCUCAGGGUCCUCGCCGUGGCGGCCACCGCCACAGUUGUGGCGUCCUCGCUGGUCGCCACGGCCUCUGCGGCCGACGGACCAGCUCCCGCACCGGCCUCCAGCGCGUCGGCGGCCGCCCCUGUCCUCGCCAUGGCGUCCCUCACCGCGCUCGUCUUCGGCUACUUCUUCUGAGGGGCCAUGGGUUCAAGCACAAUUCUUUGCGGAUUUUCUUUGGUUCUUCUUGUGUUCAUACAUGAUAUGAGUACAUACUGUAAAUUUACAUGUUCUUUUCUAUUUUUAACAGAAAAAUUGUUGGGUGAAUGCAUUCGUUUAUUCGAUAAAGGAUGCUUUUUUAUGAUGUACUGUAAGAUGAAAGGGAUACAAACAUAUCAAGCGCACACCCCGCGUCUGUAUGAUUAAUAUACACACAACCAACAUGUAGGCAUAAACAAAGGAUCACACCAGAAAAUAGUAAAGUCAUAUAAGACCGAUGGUAUGCCUAAAUUAAGGAACAUUUUAAAAUAUUAAAAAAAAAAAAUACUUAGGGGGAUCCCAUGCCUCCGUCACAAGUAUACGUCGAUGGUAAAUUUUGGCAUAACCGCCGCCACCAAACAGUGCACUACCAGCCGUCAUUGUAUCAUGGUGACCGCAACCUGCCGCCACUAGCUGUGUCGAGCAUGGGCCAAUAGCUCCUGUGCGACGUCUUUCCUGGUAAUUGGAAGCAGUGCGACAUCUUUCGAUGAAAUAGCUCUCGUGCGACGGUUUGAAGGAAGAAAAUAGCUCACGGCCACACAUGCGAUAAAACCUUAGUCAACUAGUUCAAUUUGCGUUAAGUCAUGUCUUACCUAAUUUGGGCCCAAAUUAAUUAGCACCGCAUCUCGUGAAACUGCCCGACUAGAACUGUCCGACAUCUUCAGCUCCGGCGGCGGCUACGGCGGAGGAGCCCUCUUUCUCGGCGGCGGAGGAGCCCCCUUUCGGCGGCGGCGGCGGCCAUGGUGGUGAGUGAAUUCGAUACUCUAGUCCCAAUCCCCUCCGCCUUGUAGAUCUGAGCUCUCUGUUUUGCUUGGUGAAAUCGAUAGAAGGUGAGAGGGGGCGGCGCGGUGAGAGGAGCCCGUGGUCAGGUAGAGAAGGAGCCGCCAGAUUCAGCUUCGAACAGGUAAUGCGCCUCCCUUCCGCCCAUUUGUGAGUGCGAUUGAAGGCAAUCUUUGCUCUGUCUCACGCUGCCCGCCCGCCUAUAACAGAGGGAAUGCUGCUGAAACAUUUGAAUUUGCAAUCAAUUUCUUUCCAUCGACGGCAAAAUUAGUUGAUGGUAGCAUUCAGAACAUCCAGAGAGACACAAUUGUGAAAUGGGAGGUUGAUUGUGCAGAAAUUGAUCCCAAUGAGCUACAGUCGAUGGAAGAGAAGGCAGUGAGGAAAUUGGUAGAGAAAAUUGGGGAAACUGUGCUUUGGGGUCCAGAGCAAGAGGUUUCACUAUUGCGGUAUGAUGAUUUCAAAGGAGAGUAUGUCAGAAUUGAAGAUGGUGAAGAUAUUGUUGUUGAAAUCGAUAGGCAAGAGGGCUGGGCAAGCCUCGGGGCUGAAUUUUUUGCUGAGCUCGUUGAUCUGAAUAUUGACUCGAAGGUAGGUUAUGUGCCGUCACACUUGGCUAUGCAGAAGGCAGAUGAUGAUUGGGCUUCGCAGAGGCAUAUCGUUCCCAUUAUUACGGAUCUAACAGUAAUAGCCGAUAGGGCUAAUGCACAUGCAGAAGAAGGAAAUGUUAAUGUUGUUGAUUGGAAUGCAGUUGAGUUGGAGGAGCCCACUAAUUUGGUCAUUGCACCAAUUGCUGACACUGAGAUGGCCAAACUAUUUGGCAUUCCAGUCGAUGACAGAGAUGAGGAGGAGAGGGAUGAAGCUUAAUACGUGAUAAUGAUGACAGAGAAUUGAGUGAUGUAGAUGAACAGUUGAUGAAAGAUGUUGCAGAUGAUGUAGAUGAUGCACAUGAUGAAGAGCUAGUGCAUGUGUAUGACAAGGAAAACCCUGUCAUUCGAGUGGGGAAGUUGUGGCCAAACAUGGAUGAGUUCAGGUUGUCUUUCAAGACUUAUGCAGUCAGACAUCAGUUUGAUGCCAAGACAGUUUGGACUGACACAAAGAAGUUUUAUGCUAAGUGCAGAGGUUUUGAUGGUAGUGGUAGGAGGGCUUGCAAGUGGUACAUAUCUGCUAGACUGCGGCCUGAUGGAAGUACUGUUAGGGUUAACCAAAUCCCUAAUAAACAUACUUGUCUGACAAGUUCACAGAAAAAAUCAAGCAUGACAUCACAGAUUUGGGUUGCAGAAAAGAUAACUCUAAUUUUGGCCAAAACACCCAACACUACUGCAAAAAGACUCCAAGUAGACUUGGAAAAGUUGUACCCCAUUAAACUGCAUUAUACCACAGUGUGGAAGGCUAAACAAAGGGCAAUGAAGAAUUUGUAUGGUGAUUGGGCAAACACAUUUAGGCUGAUUUUCAAUUUCAAAGCAGAGGUGGAGAAAAGGUCACCUGGCAGUGUUGUCGAGAUAGAUACUGAGGUAACAGAGGAUGGCAAGGUUUAUUUCUCCAAAUUCUUUAUGGCUUUAAAGCCUUGCAUCGAUGGCUUCAAAGCAGGAUGUCAUCCAUAUUUGAGCAUAGACUCAUCAUUUUUGACAGGCAAGUGGAAUGGUCAGUUGGCAGCAUGUAAUGCUCUAGAUGGACAUAACUGGAUGUUUCCAGUUGCUAUUGGCUUGUUUCAGUCAGAGACAGAGGCUUCAUAGACAUGGUUCAUGAUGCAGUUGAAAAGAUGCUUAGGGCCAGUGUCACCUUUGGCAAUACACACAGAUGCAUGCAAAGGUCUGGAAAAUGCAGUUAAAAAUGUGUUCCCACAUGCUGAGCAAAGGGAGUGCUUCGACCAUUUGUGGAUGAAUUUGAUCAAAAAAUUCAGAGGAGAUGAAUUUGGGAGAAUGUGGCCAGCAGCAAGAUCUUACACUAAACAGACACAUUCAUAUCAUCUUAGUAAGGUAAUGGCAACAUGUGAGGAGUUUGGUACAUGGUUGAACACCUACCAUUCUUUAUUAUGGUACAAGUCAGGAUUCAACACUGCCAUCAAGUGUGACCAUAUCAACAACAAUUUGGCAGAAAGUUUCAACAACAAGGUGAAGCAGCUAAAAGAUUUGCCUGUGCAUGACAUGGUUGAUCAAAUCAGGAUCAUGCUCAUGCGGCUGUGGGAAUUGAGAAAAAAGAUUGCUGAUUGUUUGCAAGGUGAUAAACUUCCAGCAGUGGUGCAAUAGGUGGUCAACAGAAGCAGAGGUCUUACACAUUUUUCUGUUGAAAAAUCAUCACUGUGGGGUGCUGAAGUUAGAGAUAACAAGACUGGAAGGAGGUAUGUUGUUAACACUGAAUUGCAUGAUUGCAGUUGCCUCGAAUGGCAGGCCACUGGUAAACCAUGUGAUCAUGCCAUUCUAUUCUUAGCCGGCCAACCAAAGAUAAAUAUGCAUCCAUAUCUGCAUGAGUAUUAUUCGGUAGCAAAACUCAGAGCUGCAUAUGCAACUCCAAUUCCACCUCUUACAGAUCAGGAACAGUGGCCAGAAGUGCCGCUUGAAUAUUCCAUGUGUCCUCCUCUAACAAAAAGAAAGGCAGGCAGACCUAAACAGAGUAGAUUCAAAGCAAGGUUUAAAAAAGGUGAAAGUAGUAAGAAGGGCAAGAAGGACAAGAAAGAUGCAAAGCCAAAAAGGGCUCAAAAGGGUAACAAAAACAUAUGCAAGAGGUGCCAAAUACUUGGGCACAGAGAGGGAUCCAGACUAUGCAUUUUCUCUCCUCCUAAUCCGAGAAAGUAUGUGCUUGUUUAUUUGUGUUUGUUCAUAUUCUGGUUUUGUAUAAAUUAUAAAUAUGUGGCAUGCUUUGUUGUUUUCAGGAGAAAGCUUCCAAGUCAGCCUAUUGUUGUUGAACAGUCUUGGCCAACAAAAAGAGCAAGAGUGAGUGGCAGCAGAAGGCAAACAAGUCAGUGGAUGUAACAGUUUGGUGCUGCAAGUGACGAAAUUGAAGCUGUGCACACUGUCGAAACUGUCGAAACUGAAGCUGUGCACACUAUCGAAACUGUCGAAACUGAAGUUGUGCACACUGUCGAAACUGAAACUGAAGCUGUGCACACUGUUGAAACUGUCGAAACUGAAGCUGUGCACACUGUUGAAACUGAAGCUGAUCAAACUGAAUAUGCUAUCGAGUUUCAUGAGGUGAUAGCAUCGAGUCCAGUGAAGAAAACCAAGAUGAUCAGUGAACUUGUGUGUGCAGUACAACCAAAAACAAAAAAUGCUAAGGCGAAGAAGGGUACACGACGUGGUCGGAAGAGAUAGAACUGUUGAUCAUUUGAAAUUUAUGGCAUGUAAUAAAAUUUGUUGGGCACUAUGUACCCACAUGUUUCCAUCAAAACUUGUUUGAUUAUUAUUGUUUUCAAACUGAAUUUCAAAUUUGAUGAAAAUAAAAAUUUCGGUUUAAAUUCAAAUUUGGAGUAAGUUGAACUUUUGAUUCGGGUAUGAUGUUUCAAUGCUACCACAACAACUCAAAUAUGGUUGUUAUGUCAUCAUUCUGAGCUCUUUUGUUAAGUUAGAGCCAUAGUCAUGAAAAAUGUGUGACAAACGACCUCAUAAGGUAGGGUAAACGCCAUCUUCUUAAAGGCAUUUUCCUGUAAAUGUAUAUAAACCAUGUUUAUAUAUAUUUUUGGUUGCUAUGCAACAUAAUACGACUAUGGGCACAAGUUUUGAUUUUUUUUUAAUUUUUUUUUGAAUUAUUUGUGCUCAUUUGAAAAAUAGUCAACUUUUUCACAAAAACGUUGACCGACUCAAAAUCAAAGUUUAUAUUUUUGUUUGCUAAGUAUGUGAUGUAAAAUGACAAUGUGUGCUGUUUUUUUUUUGAUUAUUUUGAAUUAAUUAUGUUCAACCUUAGCUUAUUUCGUCGAUAUCGUGAACGUGUGAAUUUUGGUUUUAAACUUUGCAUAUAACAAGUUUCCAUUUUUUUAUAGCAACUCAGUUGAAUAAGUACACAAUGUGCGUUGGUUUUGUAUUUUUUGAAUUACGUAUGCUCUAUCCUAGCUCAUUUCAUCAAUACCAUGAAUUGUAUGAAUCUUUUUCAUUGAUACAUGGAUGUAACAAGAAUCAAUUUUUUAUAGCAACGUAGUUGCAUCAGUAGACAGUGAGAGAAAGUUUCAUAUUUUUUUUGAAUUUUUUAUGCUCAACUCUAGCUCACUGCAACCCUAAACCCCGAAAACCCCUUCCGAAACCCCGUCAUAGUACAUUGUACAUGGUAACAAAAUCCCAUCUUCUUGAAGGCAUUUUCCUGCAAUUGUAUAUAAACCAUGUUUAUAUAUAUUUUUGAUUGCUAUGCAACAUAAUACAACUAUGGGCAGAAGUUUUGAUUAUUUUUUGAAUUAUUUGUGCUCAUUUGAAAAUUAGUCAACUUUUUCAAAAAAACGUUAACCGACUCAAAAUCAAAGUUUAUAUUUUUGUUUGCUAAGUAUGUGAUGUAAAAUGACAAUGUGUGUUGGUUUUAUAUUUUUUUUGAUUUUUUGAAUUAAUUAUGUUCAACCCCUAGCUCAUUUCGUCGAUAUCGUGAACGUGUGAAUUUUGGUUUUAAACUUUGCAUAUAACAAGUUUCCAUUUUUUAUAGCAACUCAGUUGAAUAAGUACACAAUGUGCGCUGGUUUUGUAUUUUUUGAAUUUUUUUUUUGAAUUACUUAUGCUCUACCCUAGCUCAUUCUAUCAAUACCAUGAAUUGUGUGAAUCUUUUUCAUUGAAACAUGGAUAUAACAAGAAUCAAUUUUUUUAUAGCAACGUAGUUGCAUCAGUAGACAGUGAGAGAAAGUUUCAUAUUUUUUUGAAUUUUUUUGAAUUUUUUGUGCUCAACCCUAGCUCACUGCAACCCUAAACCCCAUAACCCCGGAAACCCCAUCCGAAACCCCGCCAUGUUUAUAGGCAUCGAUCAUUGCUGAGUGAGCGGUUGAAUCUGACGUCGAUCCGCGUGUGCUGAUUGGCUGGCGAGCGGGGGUUUGGAUCGAGGGCCCGAGUGAGGGCCUGUCCGUUGGAUCUAGUCAGUUCGGUGAAGAUCCGACGAUUGGAAAUGAAUCGGUGCAUGGAUGUGGCGUACGCGCUUCUGACUUCGUGUGCUUCUUUGUUGCAUGACACGCGUCAGUUUUUUUGCAUGCAUGCACGCGUCGCAUCAGAGCCAUUAGCAGCGCAUCGAGGACCGCAGUCUGAAUGGGCUCUGAAUAUGAGGGGCAUGCUCGACGCGGUGCACCGACGAAAGUCUGAAGGGUGGGCGUGCUCGACGCAGCGCUCGACGCAGUGUGUGAAUCGACAACGCACCCUUUGAUCCAAUAGGCAAACGCAAAUGGGCGGCAUCCAUUAAUUGCGGCAACUGAAUCGACGAAGCGGCGCAGCCCAAAACCUGCUAUUUAACCCUCCUCUCGUGCACAUCUAACCUUCAUCUUCCUCCUUGCCCUCCUUCUCCCCAGCCCCCCCUCGCAUCACAUCCAAGCAACCGCAAGCCCCAGCAUGGAGUUCCACGGCCCGACGUUCCAAGCGCCCGGCACCAGGCCGGAAAGGAUGUACCCCGCUGGGGUCGUCGUGGAGAACCAGCUCCGGGUCUGGGCUAUGUCGCGCUCGCGGGGUGGAUGGGAGUUCGCGGGGCUCUUCCUUCGCGCCCUGUAUCGCCACCUCCCUAUGGGAACUCCCCAGAUGUUCACCAUCGACGAGUCUCGCAUGGGAGGAACCGGCAUGAUCGUGCGCUUCCGCAACCCCUACGACGCGUAUCACCUCCUCGGCCGUGUCUGGUUUGGGGGGGGUGCGAGUUCAUCUGCUUCACCACCUACAACAUCUUCACCGACCUCGACAGCAUCUGGCCCAACGAGCACGCCAUGCACACCCUCCCCUACAACCUGCCGGCCGACGACGAUGACGAGUGAGGGCGCCCGAGGAGUGAAGACGCGCGCCCGUCGCCCCUCCAUGUCGGGUUUAUCAUAGUUUCUUUCUUAUCUAUCGUAUCUGUAAGGUUAAACACUAUCGUAUCUGUAAGUUUAUUGUAAUCGUACUGUUGUGCCCGCCCGCUACUACUACGUACUGUUGUGCCAGUUUAUGUGAUGUGUUUAUCUUAUCUAUGUUGUGCACAUCUAUGUGUUUAUCUAUUUAUCAGUGACGCAGUGCACCAGGUGAUUGAUCCUUUCUUGUCACCAUUCAUGGUUCUGUUCUACAUUACGAUUAAAGGAACUAAUCUCUCUUUAAGCUCUCGUUUGGUUGACCCAGGAGCAGCAAGGCAGCAAUGGAGGGGCCAAUGGAGAGGCGCAGCCGCAACGACUAAGGGGCGGGCCAGAAAAGAAGCAGCCAGAAGACGUUCCUUUCCUCGUGUGGAUCUGUUCCAGCCCCUGUUCCACGCAUCACAGGCGAUUCUGCAGCGACUAAGGGGCAGAAAAGGAGCAGUCAGAAGACGUGCCCGACGUUCCUCACGUGUAGUACUAGCUCUGUAGAUAAUGGGCCCGUAGAUAAUACACUUGUAAAUAAUUGACCACGUGGAUCGGGCUGUGAUCCACGUUGAUUGUAUCCUAACCAAAGAAGGCCUUAGGCCGUGUUUGCAAUGGUUGUAAUUAAAUAAAUAGGUGUUUAUUUUACACUUGUAUCUUGCAGGCAGCUUAGGUUGCAAUGGUUGUAAUUAAAUAAAUGGUUGCAAGAAACUGGUUAUUCCAAACAUAUUUUCAUGGAAUAUGUUACAUGUACAACGUACAUGUCUUAGUAAAUAAUACAGAUCAGAUUAGAUGUUCAACCCUGGUAAGAUACAUGAACUUGGAUUGUUGUAUAUAAUCCGUCGUUUUUAUUUCCUAUUGGAAAUCAUACAUGACCAUUCAAAUAAUUUUGGGCCUGGUUAUUCAUAUUAAAAUCAGUACUAGCUCUGUAAAUUACACCUUUGGGCCUGGUUAUUCCUCAACUUCAGCGUCAUGGCCCAACAUCUAUUCGUCAGCCCACGAAUAAUUUUUUUGUACUGAAACUGAACUUUGUUUGGUCUCGCACUCGGCAGCCCAAUUUUGUUUUUUACUACAAACUGAAUUUGGGUGUGUACUCUGUUAACUGAAGAACAAAAACACAAGAAACACAACAUGAAAACUGAAUAAUUUGUGUUCCAAAUUGCUGAUUCAUUUAAGAUACAUGGACUUGUCAUGGCGCACAGAUCACAUCAUCUACCCUGGACAGACCUAAAUGCCCCCUCUAAUGACGAUGAAUAGCAAGUAAAACAUAAACAGAGCAAUGACACAGCAAUAAAAAAACACUGCCAUGAUAUUUGCUUGCUUCUGCAAAUCGACCAUCUCCCUUUGAUUUUUCUUGAUCUUCUUCAGUUCAUCGGUCAGUUCAGACUCCAAGUACCUCGCCAUCGGCACAACUCUGCCCGCCCCUCUGUCCGAGCUCCCCCAAUUCUCCAUCUGCGGCACCCCGCCCAAAUUGAGCUCCUAGGUUGCGGCCACGCUAGAAUCAAUGUAGCCCUCAGACUUAAUCCUCUGAACAUAUUCAUCAAUCCACUCGAAAUGUGUGCAUUUCUUCAGGAUCUGCAAACCACAAAAUGAACCCUAAAUCUCAAAUUCGAGGAGAAAAAACAAAAUAUGGAGAAAUCAAAGCAAACAACAGCGAAAGAACGGACUUAGAACUGAGAUCUAACCUUGCCAUCCCUUCCUGCCAUUGGUUUGCUCAAGCAUUUCACAAACUCCCGCCCAAGAUUGCCAUUCUCAUCCGUCUUAGUCACCAACCGUUUGAGAGGUUCUGGGCGUUGGCAGUUAGGGCACCUUGUGAGCAUCACUGGACCAUACUGACGCCAGUUUGAUUGCGUGGAGGAGGAGGUGGACAUCUGCACUAGGUUGCCGGAGACCCGAUGAAGAAUGGGGAAAGGGGAAAGCAAUGGGCGGCGGCGGACGGACGGGCACGGGCGGAAUCGCUUCUAGCCGUGACAAGGUAGGUCCCGCGCUUACUGGACAAGUGGUGGGUCCCGUGCUUACGUGGAUACGUUGUGGGUCCAACCCAUAACAGCUAAUGAGGAUAUCAGUUCAGCUUAAGGGCCAUGUCGCACAUGAGCUAUUUACUCGCUCAAAAGUGUCGCUACCAAGCCAUUCUGUCGAACAACGUCUCAUUCCAUCCAAUUCCCAGAAAAGACGUCGCACAUGAGCUAUUGGCCCGUCGAGCAUCCAUGGCCCGGCCAUCUGGUCGCAAACGUUCACUCACAAAUUUCAACUUGGAGACGAUGGGUGCCUGCCUAGAUUUCUUGAGCAACCACACAAUGUGUGACCUCUAAUCCAGAGGAAGACCAAGAUGGAAUUCAACCUGAAUUUGGAACGACCGCUAGAGAAAUAUAAAUUGCGUAUAGUUCUACUCCCUCCGUUCUUAAAUAUAAGUCUUUUAAAAGAUUUCACUAUGGACUAAAUGCAGAUGUAUAUGGACAUAUUUUAGAGUAUAGAUUCACUUAUUUUGCUCUGUAUGUAGUCCAUAAUGAAAUCUCUAAAAUGACUUAUAUUUAGAAACAGAGGAAGUACAAUCAAGUAAAUACAAAUAUAAUACUGAUAUAGUAGGCCGAGUUCCCCAAAUCAAAUAAGUAACGUGUUAGCUACUGCUGGUUGUUAGCUGCCUUCGACACUCCGAUCAAUGAUCAUGAAUAUUUUUUUGUCUGUUUUAAACCCUGAUUUUUCACCAGCUCAACUCUCAAUAGUUGAAUUUUCACACUAAAAUUUUGCAUACGUAUUUUCUGGGUUGCAAAUUCCAUUUGCUAAAUUGGCUGGGUUGAUCCUAAAUUUUCAUACAAGUGUUUCUUAUUAGUAAGUACAAAGCUGAAAAACAAAAGAUUCUCCAACUGCAAUUUUUGCAACAACACAGAGAAGAUUUUGCAACAAUGAUCACUUUCACAAUCUCAGGAAAGUUUCGGGUAGAGUAUGCUCAUUUACUAUGCAGGAACUGAAGUCUCGUGUGAAGAGAGUUUUACUAGUAUGUAAGAAGCAUAUGCUAACUAAAGUUAUAUGAUGCCACAGACAAGAUCUAUAGGAUGUGCUCAACUCAAAUUAUCGCUGAACUAAUUCGGCAGGGCUGAAUCUUGUCUUACAGUGAUAAUAUUUGAAAUCCCGUAGCACUUAUUCUACAUAGCAGGCCAAUGCUAGUAUGCUAUGGAGUACUUCCUUCGUCCCAAAAUAAGUGUUGCAAGUUUAGUAUAAUUUUGUAUUAAAGCUAGUACAAACUUGAGACACUUAUUUUGGGACGGAGGGAGUAUGAUUUAAGCUCAGGAUGAUCAAGAUUGUCCAGAGAUUUGCUUUUCAACAAUGCGUUUCACUUCUAAGUUUCAACCAUAUUAAGAAGACAUAUUUGAAACUUUCAAGUUUUCGAAAGUGAUAGAAACGUCUACCACGAAACGUGAUCAAAAUUGCCAAUCUCUAUGUUGCGCUACUAAAGGUACAAAACAACUAAAUGACUACGCAAAUUAUGAAAAAGAAAUUCUAACAAAGCAAGAUGACAUACCAUGAACGCUAAAAGUAUUAUUUGAAAGGGAAUAUUAUAGGUGAGACACUAUAUAUACACACACAUCAUAUUAGAUGGUAACAUAUGGUACUGUCACUACAAAACUAGCUAAGACGAAUAAAGUUAUAUGUUCCACCAAAAGGUAAAAUGAGCAGGAUUGAGAGGUACAAAACACCCGCGCCUAAAGAGGUUGAACUGAUAUUGUAGUACGUUUAAUUUAAAUGAAAAAAGAAACACACUCACAAAGUCAUCAGUAACACCAAUGUACUUCCUCCGUUCCUAAAUAUAAGUCUUUGAAGAGAUUUCACUAGGGGUCUACAUACGAAGCAAAAUAAGUGAAUCUAUAUUCUAAAAUAUAUCUAUAUACAUUCGUAUAUAGUACAUUAACGAAACCUCUAGAAAGACUUAUAUUUAGGUACGGAGGGAGUAUUACAUUGUGAAAUUACCCCGUAUGUCAGGUUAGAAAACUGAAUUGCUAACCACUAGUACAGAAAGGAGCAUUAAAGGUGUCCCAGGGAUCCAAUUUUGACAAAAGAAUAAUCCAGUCACUUGUAAUAGCCCAUCGGAGACAGUUAUGUUGGUUUGAGAAACUAUCUGAGGAGGUUAUAAAUUGAAACCACCUAUAGAAAUUGGUUGUAAUAUCACAACCUUAUUUGAAUUUAGCUUUUUAAUGUGCAACCAAUGAAGAAAAGAGCCCCGGAUUGCUACACUCCCCCAUGAACAGCUCAGUUGCCAAUCCCAUGGAGUGAGCCACAGGUUCCACGUUUACCAUGAAACCACUGUGAACACUUCUGGUUCAAAUAUAAAUCCAUGAAAAAACAAACAAAAGCAAUAUAUAUAUAUAUAUAUAUACACACAAAAAAAAAAAACA